rnacentral:rRNA from 1 species
GUCCUUUAUUUCUCCCGGAGCUCAACCAUGUGAACGUUACCAAACUGUUGCCUCGGCGGGAUCUCUGCCCGGGAGCGCGCAGCCCCGGACCAAGGCGCCCGCCGGAGGACCAACCAAAACUCUUUUUGUAUACCCCCUCGCGGGUUUUUUAUAAUCUGAGCCUUCUCGGCGCCUCUCGUAGGCGUUUCGAAAAUGAAUCAAAACUUUCAACAACGGAUCUCUUGGUUCUGGCAUCGAUGAAGAACGCAGCGAAAUGCGAUAAGUAAUGUGAAUUGCAGAAUUCAGUGAAUCAUCGAAUCUUUGAACGCACAUUGCGCCCGCCAGUAUUCUGGCGGGCAUGCCUGUCCGAGCGUCAUUUCAACCCUCGAACCCCUCCGGGGGGUCGGCGUUGGGGAUCGGCCCUGCCUCUUGGUGGUUGCCGUCUCCGAAAUACAGUGGCGGUCUCGCCGCAGCCUCUCCUGCGCAGUAGUUUGCACACUCGCAUCGGGGAGCGCGGCGCGUCCACAGCCGUUAAACACCCAACUUCUGAAAUGUUGACCUCGGAUCAGGUAGGAAUACCCGCUGAAACUUAAGCAUAUCAAUAGGCGGAGGAAAU